AUGGGGGUGAUGGAGAUGGGACAUGGAGAUGGAGAUGGUGGAGAUGAUGGAGAUGAUGGAAAUGGAGAUGAUGGAGAUGGGAGAGAGAUGGAGAUGGAAGUAGGGAUGGUGGAGAUGGGGGUAAUAGAUGGAGGUGGUGGAGAUGGGACACAGAGAUGGAGGUGGGGAUGGGGUUAGGAGAUGAUGGAGCUGCUGGUGCUGAGCUCUGUGUCUCCAUGGCUCCAUGUCUGUGUCUCUAUGUCUCUAUGUCUGUGUCUCUAUGUCUCCAUGUCUCUAUGUCUCUAUGUCUCUGUGUCUCUAUGUCUCUAUGUCUCUAUGUCUCUGUGUCUCUAUGUCUCCAUGUCUCUGUGUCUGUGUCUCUAUGUCUCUGUGUCUCUAUGUCUCUGUGUCUCCAUGUCUCUGUCUCUAUGUCUCUAUGGCUCCAUGUCUCUAUGUCUCUAUGGCUCCAUGUCUCUGUGUCUGUGUCUCCAUGUCUGUCUCUGUGUCUCUAUGGCUCCAUGUCUGUGUCUCUCUGUCUCUAUGUCUCUAUGUCUCUCUGGUGUCUCCGUCGCUGCCGUCCCCAGUUCCGGAACUGCAUCCUGCAGCUGUUUGGCAGGAAGGUGGAUGAUGGAUCUGAGGUGUCCACGUCGCGCACGGAGGUGUCCUCAGUGUCCAACUCCUCUGUGGCGCCUGCAUAGGCCACCAAUAAACAGCUCAGUCCUCCAGCGUCCCAUGAGCCUCUGCGGCAGCGCCUGUGGGGUCCUCUGGUGUCACAUGAGCACCUAUGGGGUCCUCCAGCGUCACAUGAGAGCCUAUGGGGUCCUCCAGCGUCACAUGAGAGCCUAUGGGGCAGCCCAAUGGGGUCCUCCAGUGUCCAAUGAGCGCCUAUGGGGUCCUCCAGUGUCACAUGAACACCUAUGGGGUCCUCCAGUGUCACAUGACCUCCUAUGGGGUCCUCCAGUGUCACAUGAACACCUAUGGGGUCCUUCAAGGUCCCAUAAGCCCCGCCCCCGUCCUGCAAUCACCAGAGCCAAUCAGAAGGGAGGGGGAGGGGCUUGGCAGAGCGUCCUCCAAUGA
rnacentral:lncRNA from 14 species